rnacentral:lncRNA from 1 species
GCACAAAGGCCCUGAGGUGGAAAGAGGUCUGCAAGCGUGAACAACAGCAAGAAGCUCCAGUCUUUAAAAGCAACGCACUGGCCCAGGAACCACACAGGAGAACAGUCCAUGACCGUGUUCCAGACCUGGCCCAGAUAAGCUUUAUAAAAGAAAGGACUUUACAACAUAGUUUAUAAUAUUUAAAAUGCGCACCGUGUAUGCCGGAGGAGCAGAUGUGGAUCAGUUAGGCAGAGACGACUAAUAAAGGGUCAUGAUCACCUUUCCACAUCUGAUGUAAAUGAAUACACAUCGAAUGCAAAGGAGCAGGGACAAGUCUGGCCAAGAGUGGGGAAUAGUUGAAGCUGAGUGAUGGUGACAUGGGG